rnacentral:rRNA from 1 species
UACGGAAGGCAGCAGUGGGGAAUAUUGCACAAUGGGCGCAAGCCUGAUGCAGCCAUGCCGCGUGUAUGAAGAAGGCCUUCGGGUUGUAAAGUACUUUCAGUCGUGAGGAGGUGUUAAGGUUAAUAACCUUAGCAAUUGACGUUAGCGACAGAAGAAGCACCGGCUAACUCCGUGCCAGCAGCCGCGGUAAUACGGAGGGUGCGAGCGUUAAUCGGAAUUACUGGGCGUAAAGGGCACGCAGGCGGUUAAUUAAGUUGGAUGUGAAAUCCCCGGGCUUAACCUGGGAAUGGCAUUCAAGACUGGUUAGCUAGAGUCUUGUAGAGGGGGUAGAAUUCCAUGUGUAGCGGUGAAAUGCGUAGAGAUGUGGAGGAAUACCGGUGGCGAAGGCGGCCCCUGGACAAAGACUGACGCUCAUGUGCGAAAGCGUGGGGAGCAAACAGGGAUUAGAUACC